CUUCUACGUGGCCUAGUGGUUAGAGCGUUCGCCUCGGAUGUGGAAGGUCGUGGGUUCGGACCCUGGCCGAGUCGU